rnacentral:rRNA from 1 species
UACGUAGGGCGCAAGCGUUGUCCGGAAUUAUUGGGCGUAAAGAGCUCGUAGGCGGCCUGUUACGUCUGCUGUGAAAUCCCGGGGCUUAACCCCGGGCGUGCAGUGGAUACGGGCAGGCUGGAGGCAGGCAGGGGAGGAACGGAAUUCCCGGUGUAGCGGUGAAAUGCGCAGAGUAUCGGGAGGAACACCGGUGGCGAAGGCGGUUCUCUGGGCCUGUACUGACGCUGAGGAGCGAAAGCGUGGGGAGCGAACAGG